rfam:Yarrowia lipolytica strain CLIB122 chromosome B complete sequence.
GCCUGGCUAGCUCAAUCGGUAGAGCGUGAGACUCUUAUUCAAAGCAAUCUCAAGGCUGUGGGUUCAAGCCCCACGUCGGGCU